rnacentral:pre_miRNA from 9 species
UCUCGAUAGCGUAAAAGUUAACUCAAAUUUGUAUGCAGUUGAAACGUUUGCCUACGUUUGCCGCUAGGGGCGCUGUUCCAACUGCAAACAAAUUUGAGUUAACUUUUACGCUAUCGA